rnacentral:rRNA from 1 species
CAAGUCGAACGAUGAACCACCUUCGGGUGGGGAUUAGUGGCGAACGGGUGAGUAACACGUGGGCAAUCUGCCCUUCACUCUGGGACAAGCCCUGGAAACGGGGUCUAAUACCGGAUACUGACCUGCCAAGGCAUCUUGGCGGGUCGAAAGCUCCGGCGGUGAAGGAUGAGCCCGCGGCCUAUCAGCUUGUUGGUGAGGUAAUGGCUCACCAAGGCGACGACGGGUAGCCGGCCUGAGAGGGCGACCGGCCACACUGGGACUGAGACACGGCCCAAACUCCUACGGGAGGCAGCAGUGGGGAAUAUUGCACAAUGGGCGAAAGCCUGAUGCAGCGACGCCGCGUGAGGGAUGACGGCCUUCGGGUUGUAAACCUCUUUCAGCAGGGAAAAAGCGAAAGUGACGGUACCUGCAGAAAAAGCGCCGGCUAACUACGUGCCAGCAGCCGCGGUAAUACGUAGGGCGCAAGCGUUGUCCGGAAUUAUUGGGCGUAAAGAGCUCGUAGGCGGCUUGUCACGUCGGUUGUGAAAGCCCGGGGCUUAACCCCGGGUCUGCAGUCGAUACGGGCAGGCUAGAGUUCGGUAGGGGAGAUCGGAAUUCCUGGUGUAGCGGUGAAAUGCGCAGAUAUCAGGAGGAACACCGGUGGCGAAGGCGGAUCUCUGGGCCGAUACUGACGCUGAGGAGCGAAAGCGUGGGGAGCGAACAGGAUUAGAUACCCUGGUAGUCCACGCCGUAAACGGUGGGCACUAGGUGUGGGCAACAUUCCACGUUGUCCGUGCCGCAGCUAACGCAUUAAGUGCCCCGCCUGGGGAGUACGGCCGCAAGGCUAAAACUCAAAGGAAUUGACGGGGGCCCGCACAAGCGGCGGAGCAUGUGGCUUAAUUCGACGCAACGCGAAGAACCUUACCAAGGCUUGACAUACACCGGAAAGCAUCAGAGAUGGUGCCCCCCUUGUGGUCGGUGUACAGGUGGUGCAUGGCUGUCGUCAGCUCGUGUCGUGAGAUGUUGGGUUAAGUCCCGCAACGAGCGCAACCCUUGUCCCGUGUUGCCAGCAAGCCCUUCGGGGUGUUGGGGACUCACGGGAGACCGCCGGGGUCAACUCGGAGGAAGGUGGGGACGACGUCAAGUCAUCAUGCCCCUUAUGUCUUGGGCUGCACACGUGCUACAAUGGCCGGUACAAUGAGCUGCGAUACCGCAAGGUGGAGCGAAUCUCAAAAAGCCGGUCUCAGUUCGGAUUGGGGUCUGCAACUCGACCCCAUGAAGUCGGAGUCGCUAGUAAUCGCAGAUCAGCAUUGCUGCGGUGAAUACGUUCCCGGGCCUUGUACACACCGCCCGUCACGUCACGAAAGUCGGUAACACCCGAAGCCGGUGGCCCAACCCCUUGUGGGAGGGA